UUCUACCAUGAUUGACCCCCCCUUUUUAAAACAGGUUUGGGAAGCAAGCCUGAGACCUACAGAUGAAGUCAUUGACUCCACAGUCCAUUUGAGAGCCCAAACGAAGUGAAAUUGACCAUCACUUGAGGUUUUCAUACCAUAUUAUAAAACGGCCUAGAAUUUACAUCAAGAUCACCGUCUUGCAAAUAGGUACUCAAGACGGGAAGAAAGUACAGAUGCAUACCCUGGAGUAGUGAAGAAAAGAAAACAAGAGCUUCUGAUUACGUCCUUGACAAUGCCAGUCAAAAGCAAGCUAGCAUAUUGGAAGCGAGAGAUCCAUCAUUCAUGAAGCGCUAAUCAACCACUGGUGCUGCUAUUGCAGACUGACUGACAAUGAAUAGGCUUUUCUGAUGGCCACUGAGGACUCUGGAAGCUGAUUCAGGUUGGACUCACUCCAACUGUUUGGAAACAGAAAGUUGGCAAUAAUAUGAAAUUGAGUAAGAUGGAGAAAGCAGUUUGGAAGGUUCUGGAACUAGUCCACUGUAAACCAGAAGAAGUUGCGUCCUCAUUAAAGAUCCUGCAAGCAUUCACAAUUAUGGAGAGAUAGGAUGUUACAUCUCUGUAGCAUGAAUCUUAAAAGUUCUUAUUAAUAAAAACAA